GUCCAGAAGAUCACGGUAAUGCUUCUAUGCCAAAGAAGAUCCAAGAAACACAGUCAGUAGAUACACUGGAGUACUACAAUGAUUCCCCUGCACAUCAGAACCUUGAAUAUGAUGAUGUCACAGUUGACCAGAACAGUGACUAUGACGAUGUUGCUGUGGAGCAAAGCCUGAAGUCUCAGUUAGGACACAGAACUAUUCCAACAUCACUGACCCAUGACGAAAAACUCCCUAAAGCUGACA